rnacentral:rRNA from 1 species
GAUGAACGCUAGCGACAGGCUUAACACAUGCAAGUCGAGGAGCAUCGGGACGUAGCAAUACGUUGCCGGCGACCGGCGGAUGGGUGAGUAACGCGUAUGCAACCUGCCCACGACAGGGGGACAGCCCGUUGAAAGACGGAUUAAUACCCCAUAAAACAGGGGUUCCGCAUGGGACUAUUUGUUAAAGGGUUUUCCGCGAGGGGGAUCCGGUUGUGGAUGGGCAUGCGUUCCAUUAGGCAGUUGGUGAGGUAACGGCUCACCAAACCGACGAUGGAUAGGGGAACCGGGAGGUUGGUCCCCCACACUGGUACUGAGAUACGGACCAGACUCCUACGGGAGGCAGCAGUGAGGAAUUUUGGUCAAUGGACGGAAGUCUGAACCAGCCAAGUCGCGUGAAGGAAGGCGGCCCUAAGGGUUGUAAACUUCUUUUGUAAGGGAAUAAAGGCCGGUACGUGUUACCGGUUUGCAGGUACCUUACGAAUAAGGAUCGGCUAACUCCGUG